UUGGUACAUGGAGGCAAGAGGGAAGGUGACAACACUGUCAGUGUUCCCUCACACCCCUGGCUUCUACCAUCCCUUCGACUAUGAGUUAAAAAAAAAACAAAAAACCAAACCUGUUGCCAUCAGCCGAUUCCAACUCACAGCGAUCCGAUAGGACAGAGUAGAACUGUCCCAUAGGGUUUCCAAAGUUGUGAUCUUUCUGGAAGCAGACUGCCACAUCUUUCUCCUGCGGAAUGUCUGGUGGAUUUGAACUGCUGACCCUUCAGUUUGCUGUGAACAUUUUCCUAAUAGAUGGUCUACCAGUGCUAACCUCAUUUCUCCCCACCUACUCCUUCCUUAACCUGGAAUCCAGUUUGGGAUGACUGAGUUUUGACCUAAAAGCGACCUCGCUCUACCUCUCCCCCAGUAUGUGAACCCCUUUGCAUUGUCCCUGAUAGCUGGCCACUAACCUGUACUUGGAAUUGUUCUCUCCCAAUGACAGAGCACUCACCCCUUAUGAGCCAUUCCACUGUUAGAUGGCUUUAAUGACUAGAAAAUUCCUUAUCCUUUGAGUGAAAAUCUCCAUAAUUUCUUCCUCCGGUCCCAAUUAUUCCUUCUGAAGUAACACACACACGUAUAUUUUUCUCUUGAUCAAUUUGAAGACAACUUUUGUCUCUCACUUUCAACUUUUUAGGCUGCUAAUCUUAAAGUUCUAUUGAAUCCCUUCCCCGGCUGUUACUUUCUGAUCCAGUCUGGUAGUCCCAGUUCUUUACUUUUAGACACUGUUACUACCUUCUCCUUCUCUGAACUACUUUUCUCUUCAGCCUGAUCUUGCCUUUUCCUCCUAAUCUGAAAUUCCAGGAAAAGUCUCUGAACAAAAUUUUUUCAUCUUCUGUGCUCCAGAGAAUCUUGUUCAUACCUUUGCCAGUCUACAACACUCUACAAAGUCAGGGCUGUCUUCUAAGCAUGGUUUCAGUCCCCACCUCGAUAGUAGAAUGCGUGGCCAAGCCGUCACCUCCUCUAUUGUUCUCGUUCCAGCAUUUCCUUUAGAAAGUUCACACCUUCAUAUUUCUCUAAAACCUACAGACGACUAUCAAAUAUUGAUGAGUCCAACUUCAUUCUUUUUCGUGGGGAUAUCCAGUUCUCCCAGCACCGUUUGUUAAAAAAAAAAAAUUCUUUAUUGAAUGUUUUGGAGCCCUUGUCAAAGAUCAACUGAACAUAUGAAGGGUUUAUUUCUGGACUCUCAAUUCUAUUCUGCUGGUCUGUGUGUCCCUAUGCCAGUACUGCACAGCCUUGAUUACUGUAACUUUAUGGUGUGUCGGGAGUCAGGAACUGUGAGUCCUCUAACAUUUUUCUUCUCUUCCAAGAUGGCUUGGGCUAUUCUGACUCCCUUGCAUUUCUGUAUGAAUUUUUGCAUUAGCUUAUUAAUUUCUGCCAAAAAAAAAAAAAAGCAGCUGGGAUUUUGAUAGAGGUUGUGUUGAGUCUGUAGAUCAGUUUGGGGAGCGUUGCCAUCUUGACACUAUUCACAUUUUCCAAUCCAUGAAUCUGGAAUGUCUUUCCAUUUAUUUAGGUCUUCUUGAAUUUCUCUCAGCCAUGUUUCCUAGUUUUCAUAAGCAUGCUUUGUACUUCUUUUAUUAAGUUAAAUUUAUCCCAAAGUAUUUUAUUCUUUUCGAUGCUAUUGGAAAUGGAAUUGUUUUCUUAAUUUUAUUUCAGAUUGCUCGUUGCAAAUGUAUAGGAAAACAACUGAUUUUUGUAUAUUGAUCUUCUAGACUGUGACCUUGCUGAACUUGUGUGUUCUGACGUUCUUUUGUAGAUUCCUUAGGAUUUUUAUGAUUCAAGAGCAUGUCAUCUGACAUGCUACAACAUGGAAGAACCUUGAAAACAUGGUGCUGAGUGAAGUAAGUCAGGCACCAAAGGGCAAAUGUAUGAUCUCACUUACAUGAAAUAACACAAAAAGGCAAAGGUAUAGAGACUGAAGUUGAUUAGUGGUUACCAGGGGCCGGAGGGAAGAGGAGGGGAGCCAUUGGUUAGGAGGCGAUGAGUUUCUGUUUAUGGUGCUGGGGAUCAUGGCAAUGAUUGAGCGAUGGUUGUACAACGUGAUUAAUGCAAUUGACAUCACUAACCUCUACACCUGAAAAAUGUCGAACGGGCAAAUGUCAUGUUAUCUAUAUUUUUUACAAUUAAAAAAAAAAUCCCCCCCCACCAAAAAAAUCAUGUCAUCUGGAAAUAGAGUACUUUUACUUUUUCCUUUCCAGUCUGAAUGCCUUUUAUUGCUUUUCUUGCCUUAUGUCCCUGGUUAGAGCGUCUAGUACAAUGUUGGAUAGAAGUGGGGAGAGCAGACCUCCUUGUCUUGCUCCUGAUCUUGGAGGGCGGGGCACAUUCAGUUUUUAACCAUUAAAUAUGAAGUUGUUGUUGUAUGCCAUCGAGUCAAUUUCGACUCAUAGCAAGCCUAUAGGACAGAGUAGAGCUGCCCCAUAGGGUUUCCAAGGAGCAGCUGAUGGAUUCAAACUGCCGACCCUUUGGUGAGCAGCUGAGCUCUUAACCACUUCGCCGCGAGAGCUCUUGAUUUUUUUGUAGAUGGCCUCUGGUCUUUUCAGCAUCAUGAACUGUUGUUUCUUUUUAUACUCUCUGACUUCAUGGCCUAGUGGAGGGAAUGGAAACCUCAGAAUCAGAUUUGGGUUUGAAGUCAAUGUUGGGUUAAUACAAGCAGAAAAUAUUUCUGGACACCAGUGUGUAACAGACAAUCCCUGUUCCCUAACUGCUCCUGAUAGAGUGGGAGGGACUGUCAUCUGGAUGAAUACAGCCGAGUGAUAGUGCCAUGGUGGGCAUGUGGCUGGGGCAGUGAGUGUGUACAGCAAGCGGGUCCCUAAGGAGAUCAGGGCGCCUUGAGGGUAAGAUGCCUGGACUGGUCUUGAAGGAGAGAAGGAGGCAGUCUGGGAAGAGAGCUUUGUUCUAUGAACCCCAGAUAGGUUUGUGAGGCUGCAGCCUAGGGUGCUUGCAAGCAAGGGGCCCAAGGUGAACCUAGAGGCCAAUAGGAGCCAUCCCCCCAAGAGCCUUGCCAGCUUCUGAUAGCUUUGUGAGUCCCGGAUUUGUGUGUGGAACAUGUGGCUGGUAGGGGAGAAGAUGGGUUGGAGGUGGGUGAGACCAGGACCAGGGAGACCUGGAGUUAGGGAGCUAUUGUCUAACCAGGGAAGAGCAGAGGACGUAACAUAAGGCCCUAAAGUAAGGCUGGAAGAAGGGAGAAGAGUGAGGAAGGUUAGAAGGUGGGAUUCCCCACGGCUUGUUGCAGUUGACUGUGAAAGGUGAGGGAGACGGGUGUGAAGAGAACGACACUGACGAACCUGAUGAGGGCCUCUGGUUAUCUGGUGGAGCAACCUUGAGAUUCAACUUUCUUGUUUGUAAAAUGGGAAAAAAAUACCUUCUAGAAAAUGAUACGUGCAAACCUCUUAGCACAGCCCCUGGCGUGUGGCUGGGACUCAAGUACUACUAAUUCGUUUUGCUUUCCCCCAUUUUGUUUCUGCGCCUUCCAGCCUCUAAAUGGAGGCCUCGUUUGGCUCAGAAUGCUUUGUUCCACCUUCAGAAUGAUUUUCUCGGCCCUGGUUCUCGCUGUCACCCCGUGAGGACAUCUAGAUCUCUCCACCCCUGGGCUCAUAAGCAUUUUCGACUGUGUUCUGGACAUCUGUGUGGCCUCUGAACCAUCCUCCAAAUCUCUCCCUCCUCUUGGCAGCCGUAUGCCUGCUGCCGGUGCUGUCAUCUUCUCUGUCCUUCCAGCUUAAGAUAAUUUACUCUAGUUGAAAAAACAAAUCCAUCUCUAGUGGUUUCUUGCUUCCCAGAGCCUUUCUGAUACCUCUCGCUCUCACUCCCUCUCUCACAUUCUCUCAUCUGGUGAAUAUCUGGGUUCUGUUUACUCACUGCCAUAACAUUGUACACCCUGUCUCCCUUUCUGUACCCCUUGUUUCUGCCAGUUUUCUUCCUCUGGUUUCUCUCCCUUUCAAUCCACGCUGCAGGCCACUGCCAGACUGAGCUUCCAGAGGCCCUGACUCCACCAUCUCUCCCGCUCUGUUGAGUGUCUGUGGUGGAGUCCAUAUCUCCUAGAUCACGCCCACGCUGCUCAGCCAGACAUUUGAGGCUCUCUUGUCCAAACCCAUGAAGCUUCCUAGUUUUACCUCCCCACAUUCUUGUGGAAGAAUGGGGCUGUUCUCAGCACCUUGAGUCUCACCUGUGUGUCCUCCUUGUGGAAGUUCUGCCUGCUCUUCAAGGCGUAGGUCAUGAGACCUGUCUGACCUUCAUCAGAUCGGACAGUCCUCCUUCCCCCUUCCCACAGGACUUGGUGCUUCUGUGAAACUGUGCAUGUCUUCUCUCUCCCUGGGGGUCGCCUCCUUCCUCUCUCUAACCCCCAAAAGCCUUCCUCAUAGCAGGCGUCCAAUGUAAGUAUUUGUUGAUGGAGUGUGCUGCGUUCCUGUCCUCCGGAAGCAUCCGGGCACGGCCAUUGCUUUUGCAAAUGCCCGUCCCUAAGGGUCCAGGGCACAGACAGUGAGAGGCUGGAGGAAACUGCUUUCCCAUGAAUUCUAUCGCAAUUCUAUACAGGCAGCACGAGGGUGCUCCAUAGGCACACUCUUGGUGACAUCCCUGGUGGCGGAGCCCAGCGGCGGGGUGAGUUUUUUUUUUUAUGACCAUGGAACUUCUCUGUGUGGACCCGAGUCCUGGUAGUCUGUGUGGGAGCCGGAAAUAACCCAGGUGCCACACAAUCAUGCAGAGCGGUAGGUACCUGUCUGAUUUUCCCUUGUAGAAUCUAGAAAUGAAAAUCACAUACUUCUUGGGUUCUUACUGUUGAGAUAAAUAACUUGAUGAUUCAUUUGGAGACUGCACCUGCUGUACCCACCCUGUCUCCCUGUCUUCUCUGGGCCUGCCUUCCCGAUAAGGCCAUCUGGACGAGUCCAGAAGGAGGCUGCUCUCAGCUCCCAGCUCCUGUCAGUGAUUCCUGGGAUUGAGGAGGGAAGCAGGAAGAAUAGGAAGAGGUAGCAGGUUUCUGUCUUGGGCUAAAAGCCCUCAAAUGCCCAGUUUCUGUCGGUACUGGUACCCUGGCAGCCAGACUGGUAAAGAGAGGGCCGUGAGGGUGCCAGGUGCCCACAGAGCACUGUGGCCUUGGCAGCGCUCAGGAGAGGAUGGUUGCCCUCCAUGAGUCACCCUCUGCAGUGCCGCCCAGCUGGAGGCCCUGCCUCCGAGGCUCACGUGCUGCUGGGAGGCUGUGGCCAGGGAGCAGAGGGUGGGCUGCUGAUGAAGCAGGAGCAGCCAGGAGAGGAGGCUCAUGCCAGAGGCAAACCAGAGCGGCUUCUGGAAGGGCUUCCUGCCCCCCACCCCCACUACGCCCUAGAUAGAUUUUGAAAGAAGAAGAACCCUGUUUGCUGUGGAAUGGCAUCCCCCUAAAAGAUACAUUGAAGUCCUAACCCCCGUACCUGUGAGCGUGACCUUGUUUAGAAAUCGCACCUUUGAGAUGUCAUUGGUUAGUUUAACAUGAGGUCCCACUGAAUAGGGUGGGUUGGGAUUCAUUCUGAGUAGCUGAGGUUUGAGGCAGAAGUGAUUGGUGUGGUCCAGCUGAUGGGGUGAGCUGGGUGCUGGGCUGUACUGUGCAAAGUUAUAAGAAAAAGAAAAACCUCAAUUUGGGGAAGCGAAUUAUAGGCAGUGAGGGAAGAGCUAACUAACCACUUCCUUAUUGGGCAUACUUCAUUAGGGUUUCUGUUUUCUAUCACUCCUAGCUUUAGUUGAUGAAAGUCAUCCAAAAGGUGAGUUAUGGAAGGCCAAGGUGUAAUGUCCUAGAACAAGUUAAUCACAGUAGAAUUAAAUGCAAUGUCUAUAUCCACAUGCAAAAGGAUAAGUUUGGACGCCUACCUCACACCCUAUACAGAAAUUAACUCAAAAUGGGUCACACACCUAUAAGUAAGAGCUAAAAUACACUCAGACAAUGCUCUGUUGCUGUCCAUAGGGUUUUCAUUGGAUAAUUUUUGGACGUAGAUCAUCAGGCCUUUCUUCCUAGGCUUUCUCAGUCUGGAAGCUCUGCCAGAACCUGUCCACCACGAGCGACCCUGCUGGUAUUUGAAAAGCCAGUGGCAUAGCUUCCAUCAUCACAGCGACACACAAGCCCCCACAGUACAACACACUGACAGACAGUGGCUUAGGUGCCUACAAAUGUGUCUGUGGUGUUUGCGUGGAGAGCCGCAGCUGUGGACGCCAGGUGCUUCUUUCUGGAAAGGAUGUGGAUGAAGAAGAUGACCACCUGACGGGGAGGCCAGGGCACUUGGCAGGAUAAGCAGACAGGUGAGGCCACUCUCAGUGCAAAUCUCUACAGCCAAAUCUUCAACAUCUAGCUGGCAGGCCACACUGGACACACGGGACCACACUGGACCGUAAUGGAUCCCUCGCCAGCCCACUUUAUCAGGCUGAGACCAGUCUCUCCUGGAACCCACUUUCCGCUCCUCAUCCUUGAUCCGUGGCUCCAAACCAGGACUCUUCAGAGGUCUACUAACCCUUUCCAGCAGAAAGUUCUUGGGGGGAUGAUUUUAACUGGCCUCCUCUUCAGAUUGGACUGACACAACGGCUGCAACAGUGGGCUCAGACGUACCUACUAUUGUGAGGGUGGUGCAGGACCGGGCAACAUUCCGGUCUGUUCUAUGUGUGGUAACAGCAACGUUCCCUUAAGAUACGCUUCAGAAAAAGCACAUUUGCUAUUCUUGGACUCAGACACGCAUACUGCUUUUAGAGCUUAUCUUUUGAACUGGCUGCUGAAGUUAUUUUCGACUCCACAGUUAAGCUGACCCAGAUAUAAUUCCUUCUUAGACGCUUCCCUCUGAAAUGUUAUUCCUCUGACUCUUUACCUCAAGGUGAUGCUGUUGUGUUCUUUGCUCUGUAAUCUUACUCUGCCUUUGACCAAAACAACAAAAUCUAAUCCUGCUGUUAAAUGAAACUUAAAAUAUAUACAAUACCACUCUGGUAAAGUAAUCGCAACGUGUGAGACCCUUGGAGUUUUUAUAAUUGAACUGAAAGAGACCUACACUCUGCCACCUGACAUCAGUCAGCACUGUGCGGAGUCCACAGAAGCUAUCCCUUAGAUGGAAGUCCUUGGUGGUGCAAACGGCAAACGUGCUUGGCUGUAACCAAAAGGUUGGUGGUUCGAGUCCACCCAGAGGCACCUCAGAAGAAAGGCCUGGCGCUCUACUUCCGAAAAAAACCAGCCACUGAGAACCCUAUGGAGCGCAGUUACACUCUGACACACGUGGGGGCGCCAUGAGUCGGAGUUGACUCCGUGGCAACCGCCGUCCCUUUAAAAUGAUCUCCUGAGCAAGCCCCUCCUUUCCUUCCUUCUUUUGGAACAGUGUCUGAGAGCCCGAAGGCAAAGCUGCCCUUUGUGGCUCUUGCUGCCACCUGAGUCUGCCACCUCUGUGCCGUGUUCUCAGCCCAGAAGGAAGCGAGCCCGCACCUCGCUGUGCGUUAGAACCUAAGUUCCUGUGAGCAGCUGGGAACUCACGUGUUCACCUCAUCGCUGCCCUCUUUUCUCGUCUCUGCUCUGACCUCCUGGCUGCUUUCUGUUGUCUAUUGGAAGUGUUGGUUUCUGUGUGUCUUUUCCAAAGGAGCCCCUCCGUGGAUCCAUACCCUAAUCUCUUCGCCUUGUUUUUGCGUUCUGGUUCUGGAUGUCUGGAUUGGAGCCAGAUUUCUGACGAGCUCCCAGCUGCUGGCCUGUGGGCAGCACUUUGGGGGGCGAGGGGGCUACCCUGUAGCUGUCCUUGUUUAGAUAGCCAAGACCAGAGAAGGAGAUUCCCAGGAAGAGGAUGGAUCUGAAGCCACCCUUUCAUCUACAGUGAAACCAGUAUAAUUAUUAAGAACACGGUGUACCAACCCAGCAUGUCUCUCUGUAAGGACUACAAGCUGGCCCUUUUACUGAGGCGUCUGUAAUGAAAACUUCUGGCUCCAGGCGUUGCUAGGGCGCCAGCCGCCGAGGGGAAGACAACCUAAUAUCACCCUGUGUGAAAUAAUGGUCUUGACCUUAGCAGGCAGGAGCGUACUCUGCCACUCCUGUUCUUGGGCGACAGGCUGACGCCCCGUCUCCCGAGUCACCCCCGAGCGAGUUUAUCCACCCAAGGCUGUGAGCGUGUCUCUGGGUGGGAAUGCUGCUUGGCUGAACUGUUUAAAUAUACUGGCGUGCUCGCAUCUAUUUAGUGAUGAGAAUCAGCACUACAAACAGCUCAAUGCUGUGACAAUAGACCCAGCACUAAGAAAACAAGGCAGCGGGGUGCCAUGGGACCCAGGCCAGGCCACAGUAGAACUGAGAGACUCAAUGCACCAGAGCUCACUGCAGCACUGUUCACAACCACGAAAAGGUGGAAACAACCCAGGUGUCCGCCAACGGAUGAAUGGACAAACACAAUGUGGUCUACCCAUACUGUGGAAUACUACACAGCCAUAAAGAGAAAGGAAGUCCUGAUGCAUGCUGUGACGUGGCUGAACCUUGACAACAUCAAGCUGAAUGAAACAAGCCAGACACAAAAGGACAAAUACUGUGUGUCAUGGGUUGAAUUGUGUCCCCCAAAAUAUCUGUCAGCUUAGCUGGGCCAUGAGUCCCAGUAUUGUAUGAUCGUCCACCAUUUUAUGUGAUUUUCCUGUGUGGUGUAAAUCCUAUCACUAUGAUGUAAUGAGAUGGGUUAGUGGCAGUUAUAUUGAUGAGGUCUACAAGAUUAGAUGAGUGUCUUAAACCAAUCUCUUUUGAGAUGUAAAAGAGAAAGGUGAGCAGAGAGACAGGGGGACCUCAUACCACCAAGAAAGCAGCCCCAGGAGCAGAGCGUGUCCUUUGGACCUGAGGUUCCUGUGCUGAGGUGCUCCCAGAUCAAGGGAGGACUGAUGACAAGGACCUUCCUCCAGAGCUGGCAGAGAGAGAAAGCCUUCCCCUGGAGCCGGCGCCCUGAAUCCGGACUUGUGGCCUACUGGACCGUGAGAGAAUAAACUUCUCUUUGUUAAAGCCAUCCACUUGUGGUAUUUCUGUUGUAGCAGCACUAGAUGACUAAGACAUUGUGUGAUCCCACUUGUAUGAAAUGUCUAGAAUAGGCAAAUGCACAGAGACAAGGUUUUUCGUGGUUCUUGGGGAUGGGGGGUGGAAUGGGAGUUAUCGCUUAAGGGGUACAAAGUCUGUAAAAUAUAUAUAACACAAAUGCAUUGAAAGAGAAAGUAGAUCAGUGUUUACCUGGGGUGGGGGGGGCAGUUUCUAUUUGAGGUAGUGGGAAAGUUCUGGAAACGGAUGUGGUGAUGGCUGUACAAAACAGUGAGCAUAAUUUAUGCCACUGGCACACACACCUAAAAAUGAUUGAAAUGGCAAAUUUUUUUUUAGUUAUCUAUAUUUCACCACAAUAAAAUUUUAAAAACAAAGCAAAAUGGGGACUUGACCCAGGGGCCCAGCUAUUUUAAAUGGCGUGCCCCCUGGUGCCUGCAGACCAGAGUCUCCGUUCCGAUGGGUCAGGAACCGUCAGGAAGCCGACGGGGGCAGCCAGUAGACUCAGCAGCAGCCGCACACGCAGCAGCGAUCUAGCCCUCCUGUGACGCAGGUCACCACAUCACUGCUGAACAUAGUGCUGGAAGGUCCUCGGGGCCGUCUGACACGAUGACGGGGCAGAUUAUCCAACAGACAAGGUAAGCUCUGUGCUUACCAGAUCAACGCAGUGAACAAUUUCACGUUUUUUCACCACAUCAAAGAUCCUGCUUCUAGGUAUGGCUGUCUCUCUCCUAACCCCACAGCACCUUCCUACAGAAUCAAAGCCUCUUUUCAAAUUUACAGUCCCUGACAGGGUCAAAUGACCAAGUAAGCAAGGAAAAGGAAGAAGCAAGGGAAUAGGAGGAGCACUCAGAGGCCUGAUUACUAGCGCUUUUCUGCAGUAAAUUAUAAACAGAAGAUAUAUACCAGAGGAGACAGCUGGAAGAGUUGCGGAUGGCUGCUUCUGGGGAGCAGGACCCUGUGGGGAGAAGGCAUGGACCUAUGAAUGGAAGACAACCCAAUGGAAUAAAUCCAAGGGCCCAGAAUAGACUGGUAAUCCGACUACACUAGGCUCAAAUCUGUUUCGGAAGAAGUACAACCAGAAUGGUCCAGAAAGCAAGGAUGGCGAGACUACGUCUCACAUACAUGUUAUCAGGAGGGUUUAGUCCCUGGAGAAGGACAUCAUGCUUGGUACAGGGUGAGGGAAAAAGAGGAAGACCCUCAACGAGCUGGGCUGACACAGUGGCUGCAACAAUGGACUCAGCAUAACAACGAUUGUGAGGAUGGCGCAGGACCAGGCAGUGUUUCGUUUAUACAUGGGGUCACUAUGAGUCAUAACCGACUCAACGGCAUCUAACGACAACAGCAGGCUCAAAUACGAGUCACUUGUGCUGAGCCCCAGUCAGCAACCGAGCGCUAGCUAAGUUUCUGUAUUUUUGUAAACACCUGAUCUUCCCAGAGCCGAAACCCAAGUCAAUCAAUUGACUCUCCUGGACAAGGAAACCUAAGCUAACCAGCUAGAACUUGCCUUCUUGGUUUACGGUAACCUAGUUCAAAAUCGUCCCCUUAUCCCAAAUAAGGAGAGAAAAUACCCAACAGCCAAUCUGAAAUUUGCCCAGUAUAAGCUUCCUUGUUACAAAGCCCUUUUCUUUUGUAGACUUUUGUAUGACUUCCAGGCCCGGUGUUCCCCAGUUUAUGAAUUGAGAAAUAAACCAUAUGACU